UUAAAGCUGAUGUAAAUGUUUACAGGCGAUGGAAGAUAGCAGAAAAAGACGUUCGCGAGUGAUGUGAGUAACACAGAACACCGGAUUACUGGAGAAAUUCCCUCAUCAUCACGCGUGUCAUGUACAUAAAUAAGUCUAAUAACGCUGAUUUUAUUGUCAUAUUCUUCUCUUUACAACAUGUUAAUUUUGAAGCUCCUGUUUAAAAUAUAACCACAACUGUGGAUUGUGUUCAACAUGGUGUGCAUAUGAAUCCUGAAGUUUUGUAUAGACAAAAUACAUCCCCCCCCCCUGUUUUUGUGUGUAUGUGUGUAGCUUUUGUUUAUCAUAGUUUUUACACCAUGCACAUUACUACGGUUCACCUCAAACAUCCUACCACCAUUAAGUUGUCUAAUGACGUCAGUAACGAUUGGACAGUGGAAAUUGUCUCCCUUUCCGGACUCGUUGUUCUUUUGGUUGGAGUUUUGUGCUUACUUUAUCACGUUGGAUCUCGUAUAUGUGCGGGUGGACAGAAUCGAAGUGCUUAUGAAAAAUUGGGCACUAGAGAUGAUCUGGAAUAUAUGGAUGGAGGAUAUUGCAAAUUGAAAGAUAUAUCUACUCAUAGUAAUGGACAACUGCUGAAUGAAAAACGUUUAUUAAUACCUGUAUGAAUGUAAAAUAUUAUUUAAUUUCCUGAAUGUAUGUACAAUGUAUAUCUUUGUAAAGAUGUAAAUACGAUUAUUUAUUUAUUACUUACCAUUUACGAUCAUAUCAAUUUUUUCAAAUAUAUAUAUUUCAACUAUG